rnacentral:rRNA from 1 species
UCUGGCCUGCCCACUGAGAAAUUUUUGAAGGGCCGCGGUAUUUUGACCGUGCAAAGGUAGCAUAAUCAUUAGUCUUUUAAUUGGGGGCUGGAAUGAAUGGUUUGACGAAGUAUUGGCUGUCUCAUGAUAAAUAAUUAGAAUUUAACUUUUUAGUUAAAAGGCUAAAAUAAUUUUAUAGGACGAGAAGACCCUAUAGAGCUUUAUAAUUAUAUAUAAGAUUGUAUUUGGUUGUUGGUUAUGAUUUUAUUAUAUAUUUAUUAAGUUGGGGUGACUUAAAGAUUUAAUAAACUCUUUUAUUGUAAACCAUUAAUUUAUGAAUGGUUGAUCCAUUAUUGAUGAUUAUAAGAUUAAGUUACCUUAGGGAUAACAGCGUAAUUUUUUUUGAGAGUUCUUAUCAACAAAGAAGAUUGCGACCUCGAUGUUGGAUUAAGGAAUAUAGGUGGGUGUAGAAGUUUACUUUAUAGGUCUGUUCGAC